CAUUUUGGUUUAGUUGCAUACCCUUAUACAUCAUCUUUUUUUAUUUUGAUGAUUUUAGUUUUAUCAAAAUGUUAAAUGAACGAUGUAAAAGAAUAUCAUAGUUAAUUGCAAAUGGUUAUAUUUUGAGGAAUAUGUGAUGUACAAAAGAAAUGAUACAAAGAAUGUAAUGGAAGUUUAUUAAAGUUGAAUGCAUGUAUGUGAUUUAAAUUUAAUCAUAUUACUUGUAUAUUGAUUAGACAGU
rnacentral:lncRNA from 1 species